rnacentral:rRNA from 1 species
AGCAGCCGCGGUAAUUCCAGCUCCAAUAGCGUAUAUUAAAGUUGUUGCAGUUAAAAAGCUCGUAGUUGAAUUUCGGGAUUAGUACGUUGGUCGUGCCUUAGGUACGUACUGGUGUUACUGGUUCCUACCUUCUGACGAACCAUCAUGUCAUUAAUUUGGUGUGGCGGGGAAUCAGGACUGUUACUUUGAAAAAAUUAGAGUGUUUAAAGCAGGCUCGCGCUUGAAUACAUUAGCAUGGAAUAAUGAAAUAGGACGUUGACCCUAUUUUGCUGGUUUCUAGGAUUGACGUAAUGAUUAAUAGGGAUAGUUGGGGGCAUUAGUAUUCAAUUGUCAGAGGUGAAAUUCUUGGAUUUAUUGAAGACUAACUACUGCGAAAGCAUUUGCCAAGGAUGUUUUCAUUAAUCAAGAACGAAAGUUAGGGGAUCGAAGACGAUCAGAUACCGUCGUAGUCUUAACCAUAAACUAUGCCGACUAGGGAUCGGAUGAUGUUAAUUUUUUAAUGACUCA